rnacentral:rRNA from 1 species
CUUGGUCAUUUAGAGGAAGUAAAAGUCGUAACAAGGUUUCCGUAGGUGAACCUGCGGAAGGAUCAUUAUUGAAUACUAUUAUUUUUUAGUUUUCAACUAUUAAACCCCUUUGUCUACUUAUACCAUGUUGCUUCCACUGGACAGGUUGAUUAUGUUAUUUUACAUGUGUUACCCUUUAGCUUGAUCCUUUUUUUUGGUACAAGUUGAAGAGUUGCCAGUGGAUGAAAAUUAAACUAAAAACUUUUGAAUAAAACUCUGUCUUAACUCUUUUUUAUUGAAAAAUAAAAUAAAACUUUCAACAACGGAUCUCUAGGCUCUUGCAUCGAUGAAGAACGCAGUAAAAUGCGAUAAGUAAUGUGAAUUGCAGAUCUCGUGAAUCAUCGAAUCUUUGAACGCACAUUGCGCCCUAUAGCAUUCUGUAGGGCAUGCCUGUCUGAGUAUCAUUAUACCCACUCAGAUCUUGGAUUAUUUUAUAUAGUCUUAGAUUUGGAUUUAAUCAGAGAAGUAACCUAUUUGAGUAGAUUACUCUUUGGAAAUAUAAAGGCAGUUGUAGUGAAACCUAUAUUAAACGUGAUAUUAAAAAGUUUCGUUUAAAAGGACUGAAUCUUUGACUUGCCUUUAACCCACUUAAUUCUUUGGUUGACCUCAGAUCAGGUAGGGAUACCCGCUGAACUUAAGCAUAUCAAUAAAGCGGAGGA